UCAAACUUGGUCAUUUAGAGGAAGUAAAAGUCGUAACAAGGUUUCCGUAGGUGAACCUGCGGAAGGAUCAUUACAGGUUCCAGGUGCUCCGGCGCCUAACCUUCAACCCUUUGUCUUGUUAAAUCUGUUUCUUUGCCGGCUCCGGCCGGCAGAAGCCUUCUCAAACACUUGUUGAAUGUGUCUUCUGAAGUAAAAAAACAAAUAAAUUAAAACUUUCAACAACGGAUCUCUUGGUUCUGGCAUCGAUGAAGAACGCAGC
rnacentral:misc_RNA from 1 species